CUCUUAAAAUGUUUUUUUUAUUUCCGCUACUAUAGCAUGGUGUACUAUAUAUGUAAGGUUGUUAUGAUUCCACAACCGAAAUAGCGUUAUUGUCGCAUGUUUUAAACUUGUUUCACGUCAUGCUUUGUCUAUUUAAAUGAAGACUAGCGGAGGCGUCUUCUUAUUGUAAUGAUGGCACCAUCUGCUACAGCGGAACCAACUGCUGUCGAGAUUCUAUCAAUUCUAACUCCUACUACUGCUGUGAAAACGUGACAUCCGCACCAGAAUCAUGGAGUACUGGAGGCAUAGCAGGCGGAGUCGGCGGUCUGACGAUAUUGUUUAUUUUUAUUGGCGCGUACUGUCGUACACGAUAUCAUAUUCGUGCGGUAGUGGUACGGAAAGCCGCUGCGAACCCUAGCAUCGCCGUCAUAUCUAACACGCAAGAGAUGUCAAGUAUGAUGCCUCAACCGAUGCCAUACGUCCCGUAUCCAGGGCCGCCCGCUCCGUAUGCCGGGCAACCUGGUCCGUAUCCCGGGCAACCUGGUCCGUAUCCCGGGCAGCACGCCCAAUAUCCAGAACAACCAGGCGCAAACCAACAAUCCCCGCCUCAGUAUUCACCUACGUAACGCGUCUGCAGGUGCGAGAGUCAGGAAAGUAGACGAUAAUAUUGUGCAAUGGCGCUACAAUGCAGGAUCACAAUGUUAGUGAUAUGUCGUACACACUUGGGAAUAUGGUCUUGUUUAAAUGACGUUUAUGUUAAAUAAACAUAUGUAAUAACUAAACAGGAAAACUUAGUGGACGGUACUGUCAUGCUUUAUUGUCAAGUUAUGUGUAUCAAACAUGUUCCUUUCUUGAUGUUACUUUUACUUGAUUGCGUUCAUUCAUUCCAAAGUUCCACCACUAUGUUAACAUUUGUAUAAACAGUUUAUGUUGUACGUUAUACAUUCAUGAACAGGCAUUUACAAGAUAGUAUGUUAGUGUUGGUAGAUGUUGAAAUACCAAAAAGGUUGUACGGGUUUAUAUUUAGCAUGUGUUGUGUAAUGGUAUAUUUAAAAAUUAAACAAAUGCCUCUGUCUGAUUUGAGGUGCUUCUGUGCGAAA